UGAAAAAGAACCUGAAACCGUGUACGUACAAGCAGUGGGAGCACAGGUUUACCUGUGUGACUGCGUACCUUUUGUAUAAUGGGUCAGCGACUUAUAUUCUGUAGCAAGGUUAACCGUAUAGGGGAGCCGAAGGGAAACCGAGUCUUAACCGGGCGUUAAGUUGCAGGGUAUAGACCCGAAACCCGGUGAUCUAGCCAUGGGCAGGUUGAAGGUUGGGUAACACUAACUGGAGGACCGAACCGACUAAUGUUGAAAAAUUAGCGGAUGACCUGUGGCUGGGGGUGAAAGGCCAAUCAAACCGGGAGAUAGCUGGUUCUCCCCGAAAGCUAUUUAGGUAGCGCCUCGUGAAUUCAUCUCCGGGGGUAGAGCACUGUUUCGGCUAGGGGGCCAUCCCGGCUUACCAACCCGAUGCAAACUGCGAAUACCGGAGAAUGUUAUCACGGGAGACACACGGCGGGUGCUAACGUCCGUCGUGAAGAGGGAAACAACCCAGACCGCCAGCUAAGGUCCCAAAGUCAUGGUUAAGUGGGAAACGAUGUGGGAAGGCCCAGACAGCCAGGAUGUUGGCUUAGAAGCAGCCAUCAUUUAAAGAAAGCGUAAUAGCUCACUGGUCGAGUCGGCCUGCGCG
rnacentral:rRNA from 1 species